GACGAACGCUGGCGGCGUGCCUAAUACAUGCAAGUAGAACGCAGUUGCGAACGGGUGAGUAACGCGUAGGUAACGGCCUCAUAGCGGGGGAUAACCUUUGGAAACGAUAGCUAAUACCGGAUACUGUGAGAUGGACCUGCGUUGUAUUAGCUAGUUGGUGAGGUAAAGGCUCACCAAGGCGACGGUACAUAGCCGAACUGAGAGGGUGAUCGGCCAAACUGGGAAUGAGACAACGGCCAGAAUCCUAAGGGAGGCAGUAGGAGGGAAUGUCGGGCAAUGGACCGAAGGCUGGCUGCGCAACGCCGCGUGAGUGGAGAAGGUUUUUGGUUCGUAAAGGGCUGUUGUUAGAGAAGCGGGACCUAACCAGAAAGGGACGGCUAACUACGUGCCAGUAGCCGCGGUAAUAC
rnacentral:rRNA from 1 species